UUUCCGUAGGUGAACCUGCGGAAGGAUCAUUAUCGUGUUUUGACUGGGUUGUAGCUCGCCUUCCUAGGCAUCUGCACGCCCUGCUCAUCCCCUCUAUACCUGUGCACUUAAUGUGGGUAUCAGAUCGUGAAGCUUGCUCUUUUACCGCAGCUUGGGAAGCGUGUCUGUGACUGCGUCUAUCACAAAAACUUUAAAGUAUCAGAAUGUGUAUUACGAUGUAACUAAUCUAUAUACAACUUUCAGCAACGGAUCUCUUGGCUCUC
rnacentral:misc_RNA from 1 species